AGAGUUUGAUUCCGGCUCAGAACGAACGCUGGCGGCAGGCUUAACACAUGCAAGUCGAGCGCCCCGCAAGGGGAGCGGCAGACGGGUGAGUAACGCGUGGGAAUCUACCCAUCUCUACGGAACAACUCCGGGAAACUGGAGCUAAUACCGUAUACGUCCUUUUGGAGAAAGAUUUAUCGGAGAUGGAUGAGCCCGCGUUGGAUUAGCUAGUUGGUGGGGUAAAGGCCUACCAAGGCGACGAUCCAUAGCUGGUCUGAGAGGAUGAUCAGCCACACUGGGACUGAGACACGGCCCAGACUCCUACGGGAGGCAGCAGUGGGGAAUAUUGGACAAUGGGCGCAAGCCUGAUCCAGCCAUGCCGCGUGAGUGAUGAAGGCCCUAGGGUUGUAAAGCUCUUUCAACGGUGAAGAUAAUGACG
rnacentral:rRNA from 1 species